UCAAGCGCGAGAAGGGCGUUUGGUGGAUGCCUUGGCAGUAAGAGGCGAUGAAGGACGUGAUACUCUGCGAUAAGCUUUGGGAAGUCGAGAAUAGACGCUAUACCCAAAGAUCUCCGAAUGGGGCAACCCAACUGAUACUUUGUUAUUGUUACACUUUGUGUAAUCAAUAAUGGGGUAAAACAGUUAUUAAUUACCUGAAUACAUAGGGUUUUUAAAGCAAACCUGGGGAACUGAAACAUCUAAGUACCCAGAGGAAAGGAAAUCAAUAGAUACUCCCGUAGUAGUGGCGAGCGAACCGGGACCAGCCGAGCAAUGAAUGUGACUAGAACCAGUUGGAAAGCUGGGCGAUAUGGGUGACAGCCCCGUAUAGGAAGCAUGAUUUGACGUAUUAAGUAGGGCGGAACACGUGAAAUUCUGUCUGAACAUGGGGGGACCACCCUCUAAGGCUAAGUACUCCUUACUGACCGAUAGCGAACCAGUACCGUGAGGGAAAGGUGAAAAGCACCCCGACGAGGGGAGUGAAACAGUUUCUGAAACCGGACGCCUACAAACAGUUGGAGCCUCUUUAUGGGGUGACAGCGUACCUUUUGUAUAAUGGGUCAACGACUUGGUCUUACUAGCAAGCUUAAGCCGAUAGGUGUAGGCGCAGCGAAAGCGAGUCUUAAUAGGGCGAAUGAGUUAGUAGGAUCAGACCCGAAACCGAGUGAUCUAGGCAUGAGCAGGUUGAAGGUAAGGUAACACUUACUGGAGGACCGAACCCACAUCUGUUGAAAAAGAUCGGGAUGACUUGUGCCUAGGGGUGAAAGGCCAAUCAAACUCGGAGAUAGCUGGUUCUCCGCGAAAUCUAUUUAGGUAGAGCGUCGCACGAAUACCUUGGGGGGUAGAGCACUGAAUGGGUAAUGGGGACUCACCGUCUUACUGAUCCUAAUCAAACUCCGAAUACCCAAGAGUAAUAUGCGGCAGACACACUGCGGAUGCUAACGUCCGUAGUGGAGAGGGAAACAACCCUGACCCUCAGCUAAGGCCCCUAAUUCAUGGCUAAGUGGGAAAGCAGGUGGGACGACCAAAACAACCAGGAAGUUGGCUUAGAAGCAGCCAUCUUUUAAAGAUAGCGUAACAGCUCACUGGUCUAAUUUAAGUUAUCCUGCGGCGAAGAUGUACCGGGGCUCAAGCCAUGAGCCGAAGCUAGGGAUGCAAUUUAUUGCAUGGUAGCGGAGCGUUCUGUGAUAUAGAACGCUGCGUCUUUAGUAUCUUAGGAUAUUUUGGACGCAAUGUUCUGACUGUGAAGCCGGCGCGUAAGCGAUCCGGUGGAGUGAUCAGAAGUGAGAAUGUUGACAUGAGUAGCGACAAACAGGGUGAGAGACCCUGUCGCCGAAAGUCCAAGGGUUCCUGCUUAAAGCUAAUCUGAGCAGGGUAAGCCGACCCCUAAGGCGAGGCCGAAAGGCGUAGUCGAUGGGAACCAGUUUAAUAUUACUGGGCCAGGAGAUGGUGACGGAUCGAAAGCGUAGUGACUCCUUAUCGGAUUGAAGUUGCUGCCGGACGGUUCCUGGAAAUAGCCCUCCAUUAGAUCGUACCCUAAACCAACACAGGUGGACUGGUAGAGAAUACCAAGGCGCUUGAGAGAACUACAUUGAAGGAACUCGGCAAAAUGCCUCCGUAAGUUCGCGAGAAGGAGGCCCCAUCAGAAGGCAACUUUUGGUGGGGGGCACAGACCAGGGGGUGGCGACUGUUUACUAAAAACACAGGGCUCUGCGAAGUCGUAAGACGACGUAUAGGGUCUGACGCCUGCCCGGUGCUGGAAGGUUAAGAGGAGGUGUGCAAGCACUGAAUUGAAGCCCCAGUAAACGGCGGCCGUAACUAUAACGGUCCUAAGGUAGCGAAAUUCCUUGUCGGGUAAGUUCCGACCU
rnacentral:rRNA from 1 species